UCGAGCGGCAGCGCGGGGGCAACCCUGGCGGCGAGCGGCGAACGGGUGAGUAAUGCAUCGGAACGUGUCCCGUAGUGGGGGAUAACCCGGCGAAAGCCGGACUAAUACCGCAUAUGCUCUACGGAGGAAAGCGGGGGAUUCGCAAGAACCUCGCGCUAUGGGAGCGGCCGAUGUCCGAUUAGCUUGUUGGUGGGGUAAUGGCUUACCAAGGCGACGAUCGGUAGCUGGUCUGAGAGGAUGAUCAGCCACACUGGGACUGAGACACGGC
rnacentral:rRNA from 1 species